AAAGUUGCCUAAAAAAAAAAAAGGAACAGAAACAAACACACAAAAGCAAAAACAGAAAGAGUGGGUUAUUUCCCAAGAGAAAGCUCUCCCUAAGCCCAUCCUAGACAUUAGUGGGGUACCCAGGCAUGACCUAGGUAAAGCUGUAUUUUGUGCUCCCAUCUACGCACUGCCCACCUUUGUCCUGACUUCAGUAGUAUUCCUUUUCACCAAAUUCUCGGUAUCAGUGCUCUCGGCAUGCCUGUGGUCUCCUGCUCCCCACCCAUUCACAAACAUUUAAAAAAUCUGAUUAGCCAACAUCAAACCUCAGUGUUAAUUAGUUUGAAAGGCAAUUUCUCAUGGGAAUAGCUUUCAUUUUUAAAGAAAAAUAUAAGAAGUUAAGACCAAAGAAUGAAUCCCUGACAGUGAAAUUUUAGGAACUGCCACUCCUGGCUUGGAGAGCCGCCGGAGGCAGGGAAGACCUCUUCCAGACCACAUAUUCUGCAGAGACAAAAGACUGACCUCAGAUGCUCCUACUUUGGAACAACUCAUGUAUUAAUUUGGACAAGGAUGAAUAAAAUCAAAUGAAAAGUGGAUCUUCUAAAUGAAGGAUGCUGCUCUUGUUACCCAAGCACCAUUCUGUGAGGAAGCACCUGAGGUGUCCCAGCUGACAGCCCAGCAGAAGUUCUACUUGACAGCAUCAGCCACCAGAUGCGUCAGCCACCAGAUGUAUGAGCGACUGACCUAAAAAUGCUUCCAGCCCCCAGCUGUGGGGUCACAACCAGCCUUCAACCAGCCGUGCCAGCUGGUACCACGUGCUACAGAGAUGAGAACACUGACGCCGUAUCUGCAGCUCUGGAGAUGUCCAGGACCAUGCAGAUGACACACUGGGGACAGCAGAACAAAGGGCAGGAUGAGGCCCGUGCCCACGAUGACCUUGGAGAGAUGCUGGUAUGCCUGUCUCUCUACAUGAGACAAAUAUACUUCUAUCUGGAUUGUCACUAUUAAUUUGCAUGUGUGUGUUUUUACAGAAGUCUGGACUGAAUCCGAAUUGAUGCAACAGGUAAACAAAAGAAAGUGCUUUAGCCUGUUAAAGACUGAUUCCUAUUAGCUGAGAGGGUGGUUUGGCAUGGUGUCCUUACCCCGAGGCUGUCCUGUAUUAAAUGCAAACUCCUGUAUUAAAUGCAAAGUCUAGUGGCAAACUUUCAAGAUAAUUAAA